UGCCCUGUCCCAUGCACUAAACAAGGCUUGACUGGGAUCCAGCAGGAGCCACCUGUGUUGAUAAGUGGAAUGAUCUGUACGUGAAGCUUCUGCAGAAAUAUUAGACAUUGGGAUCACAUGAAAGCAGUGAUACAAGGCAUGACAAACAAACAACCAUCACCUCCUAAGGGAGGAGUGGACAUGUCAAAGCAACGCAUGGCAACGGGCACACAGGCAAAAAUCUCACUGACAGCGCCCAGCCUUUAUUGAAGGUCACUUGGAAAACAUGAGUCGAGUAGAAACGAGGUCAGAGCCAACAGAUAGAAGCCACCAGGCCACACAGUCAACAGAGCGGCAGUGGAGAAGACAGGAAAGACAGGUGGACACAGUAAACCCGCUGCAACUGUCUAGA